GCUAUAUUGAAUCGAUUUUAGUGUUGAUGAAGUUGACUUACGAAGACUCAAACACUCCACUUAUUUCUGGCAACUUUGCAUAAAUCAAUCCAUGUUUUUUGCCAUCAAAACGUUCGUCUUGGUGCAUUUAAUAGCUUUGAUAAACGCGAUGUGCCCAGUUUAGCUUAGCUGGUUUAGCCGAUUUGUCUUAUAAAUUACUAACAUAAAGGUUGCGGUCUACAUUGAUGGUAGUCGGACCGACUCCGCUAACGAGAAUCCGAGUUGGAGUAAUCUCAUCCUAACAUAAAGUGAAAUACCGGUACCGGGAUAGCUGCCAUGUACGGUACCGGUAUCUGAAAUACGAGAAGCCGAGGGGACCCAAGGUUCUAACACCUGUUUCAACAGAUUGGGAAAGAUAGUUUAAUAAUUACUGUUAUUGUUAAUGGUAAGCAUGGUAUGAAUUUUGCCAAUUAGCGGUACCGGUACCGGUGCCGUAGCCAACUAGGCCAUUAUCGAUUAUCACUAGAAAUUAUGGAGUACCGUAUUAAAAGAGCCACAAGACCAGCGUAUGACCGAGGAAUCCCCGUUCUACCGGCAGACCGGAAUAGAUCAAGAAUAAAUGAACAAAUGACUGGGGUGUCAAGUCUAAAUUGACAAGACUAUAGCAGAAAACAGAAAAAGAAGACUACUAAGAACAGAUACAAAUGAAUUAACAAGAGCACAAUGAAAGGAAAAUAUUGACAUCAGAAUUACGAUCAGACUAAGUUCAAAGGAAACAUGACACAGAUAUGAGGCAAACUGAUGAUAGCUUUUAUCAAAAAUCAGUAGAGGAUUAGAGUCGCAAACAUAGUUCAUCUUCAAGUUAAUCAGGAUCUGAUAGCAGUUAUCAAGCAAGAUCAACAGACGUCUUCAACUGAAGUGAGGAAAAUUGAACUGGAUUUUUACCUUUUACAAGGGUAAUUUUUCCUUUUAUGUUUUUGAUUUUUUUUUGUUACAAAAAAUUGGCAGUCCAGAAUAUUGUAAAGAGUAGUAUGAUAUAAUUCAGAUGAUAUUUUAUCUUGGGGAAAUGUUAUUAAAGUUUGUUUUUUAACCUACUUAAAACAGGGGUCGGCAAAAUGCGGCCUAAAUUGUUGCGGCCCUUGAACCACCCGACAUUCAAUACAUAAAACAAAAGUUCAUCCUGAAUUUAUUAUUGUCUCUACACGGACUUAUGUAGUAACAAGUGCUGCUGUACGGUGCUUGUUUUGUAAUAAGUAGCGUCAAUUGUAUGUAUUUCGAGUACAUUUUGAUUUUUAAAAUAUAAAAAUGCCCGCGAGCUUCGUUGUUGCGGCUUUCAAACAACCCGACAUUUAAUGCAUAAAACAAUAGUUUAUCCUAAAUUUAUUAUUGUCUCUACACAGACUUAUGUGGUAACGAGUGCUGCUGUACGGCGCUUGUUUUGGAUAAGUAGAGUCAGUUGUAUGUAUUGUUCGCGACGAGGUUCGAACAUUCCAAAGUGCCUGGACAGAAAAAAAUAUUUCUUUCUUGCUCAUUUCAAAAGCAGUUUGCUCGAUAUGCCCAGUCAGCAUCUCAGAUAUUAAGGGAUUUAAUGUUAAACUCGUUCCGAAGCGUGUCAUCGAAAUUGGACCCCGAGACCCUGGGGCUGAGCCACAGCUCAUCUGUGCGCCAGUACAAAACGUGUAAUCUGCACGUUUGGAAGCUCAUAUUGCUGUGAGCAGCUUUAUAUAAAAUGCAAUACACUCGGAAUAAAUAUGCCCACGCCCAGUCAGCAUAGCAGACUUUUGCCAUAAAAACAUUCUUUACAUUGAUAAUAAGUGAAUAAAAACAAUGUAUUGUUGGCAUAAUAUAUUAAAAAACGACA